GACAGAGGUCCCGAGCGUUGUUCGGAUUUACUGGGCGUAAAGGGCGCGUAGGCGGCCGGGCCAGUCCGGCGUGAAAGCCCGCAGCUUAACUGCGGAAGGGCGUCGGAUACUACCCGGCUUUGAGGGUUGGAGAGGGGACUGGAAUUCCCGGUGUAGCAGUGAAAUGCGUAGAUAUCGGAAGGAACAUCAGUGGCGAAGGCGGCUUCCUGGACCAAUACUGACGCUCAGGUGCGAAAGCGUGGGGAGCAAA
rnacentral:rRNA from 1 species